CCCUUAGAUGUUCUGGGCCGCACGCGUGCUACACUGAGUGGAUCAGCGGGUCAGGUUGCACGAAAGUGUUUCCUAAUCUUGAAAUCCGCUCGUGAUGGGGAUUGACGGUUGCAAUUUUCCGUCAUGAACGAGGAAUACCUUGUAAGCGCGGGUCAUCAUCCCGCGCUGAAUACGUCCCUGCCCUUUGUACACACCGCCCGUCGCUCCUACCGAUUGAGUGGUCCGGUGAGGCUUUGGGAUCUGAGCGGAAAGAGCGUUUCGCUGUUUCUGCUCGGAAAACUCAGUCGAACCUUAUCAUUUAGAGGAAGGAGAAGUCGUAACA
rnacentral:rRNA from 1 species